rnacentral:siRNA from 1 species
CUCACCAUCCUUUGCUGAUGCGGG